rnacentral:ncRNA from 1 species
CACCGCCCGUCGCUACUACCGAUUAAAUGGUCUAGUGAGAUCAUCUGAGUAUAUGUACAUGUACUCUGUACGUGUAACGUUUGCAAUGAGGAUCAAACUUGAUCAUUUAGAGGAAGUAAAAGUCGUAAUAAUGUUUCCGCAUGUGAACCUGCGGAAG